GAUGAACGCUGGCGGCGUGCCUCAAACAUGCAAGUCGAGCGGGGCUAUGUAAUAUCGCAAGGUAGAACAUAGCCUAGCGGCGAACGGGUGAGUAACACGUGGGUAACCUGCCUGGAAGACAGGGAUAACGAUUCGAAAGGGUCGCUAAUACCUGAUAAUAUCCUUUCAUCGCAUGGUGAUAGGAAGAAAGGGGAAACCCGCUUUCAGAUGGGCCCGCGUCCCAUCAGCUAGUUGGUAAGGUAAAGGCUUACCAAGGCGACGACGGGUAGCCGGUCUGAGAGGAUGUACGGCCACACUGGGACUGAGAUACGGCCCAGACUCCUACGGGAGGCAGCAGUUGGGAAUCUUAGGCAAUGGACGAAAGUCUGACCUAGCGACGCCGCGUGAGGGAAGAAGGCCUUCGGGUUGUAAACCUCUGUCAUGGGGGAAGAAGUAAGUGACGGUACCCCAAGAGGAAGCCCCUGCUAACUACGUGCCAGCAGCCGCGGUAAAAGUCUCUAU
rnacentral:rRNA from 1 species